rnacentral:rRNA from 1 species
GGAAUCUUGCGCAAUGGGCGAAAGCCUGACGCAGCGACACCGCGUGGAGGAAGAAGGCCUUCGGGUUGUAAACUCCUUUUCUUGGGGAAGAGAAAGGACGGUACCCAAGGAAUAAGGAUCGGCUAACUACGUGCCAGCAGCCGCGGUAAUACGUAGGAUCCGAGCGUUGUCCGGAUUUACUGGGCGUAAAGAGUGCGUAGGCGGUCUGCUAAGUCUCAUGUGAAAUCUCCCGGCUCAACUGGGAGGGGUCAUGGGAAACUGGCAGGCUUGAGGGCUGUAGAGGAGAGCGGAAUUCCUGGAGUAGUGGUGAAAUGCGUAGAUACCAGGAGGAACACCAGUGGCGAAGGCGGCUCUCUAGGCUGUACCUGACGCUGAGGCACGAAAGCGUGGGGAGCAAACCGGAUUAGAUACCCGUGUAGUCC